AUGAAUGACCUCAUAACACCCAGGUGCAUCGAUCAUGCUUACAGCAGUCACGUAGCCCGAGACCGACGAGACAGAUGUGUUUUCACAGAAGGCCACAAGCUGUGCCAGAGUCAUUCACAACGUCACGGCACGCCGACGCACAGCCGGGCCUCGUCAGAUCAACGACCUGGUCCGCCGGCGCCGCAGAACCCGGUGUUCUUAAGAGUCAACAGUUAAUCUGACAAUGCAUGCUAGAUUAAAGAUAAAACCAGCCGUCUAGAUCAGUGCAUUGGGGAGGCGGGGCUGGUAGUGGCAGAUCACGUCGACGUGCGGCCUGGAGAUUGGAGAUUAUACGACACCAAGAAUGGAGGUUGGGUGUGAUUGAGGUAUGUUCUGGUCUAUGGAGGUAGAGAGCUGUCAUGUUUCUCCUCCAUUCUCCCACACCUGAGGCACAUUGGAAGCACAUUAAAGUACAUCUGCUUACCCAGCACUAUUUCCAGCCAUCAGUCCAUCACGUUGGAUAUAUCCUUAUGUUGGGAUGUCCAAGGAAGCUCCUCAGUCAACAAGACACCGACGCCCUAAG